CGGGAUGUAGCGCAGCCUGGUAGCGCGCUUCGUUCGGGACGAAGAGGCCGCUGGUUCGAAUCCAGUCAUCCCGA
rnacentral:tRNA from 2 species